AGAGAAUUUGCUGAUAAUGUUUUGCCUCGUAUUCGAGCAAAUCACUAUAACACAGUCCAGCUGAUGGCUGUGAUGGAGCAUUCCCAUUAUGCUUCCUUCGGUUAUCAUGUGACAAAUUUCUUUGCCGUAAGCAGUAGAUCUGGAACACCUGAGGACCUUAAAUAUCUAAUUGAUAAAGCACAUUCCCUAGGUUUGCGCGUAUUGAUGGAUGUCAUUCACAGUCAUGCAAGUAAUAAUGUCACUGAUGGCCUCAUUGACUUUGAAGUUGGUCAAUGCACACGAGAUUCCUACUUCCAUGCAUGUGAUAGAGGCUACCAUAAGUUAUGGGAUAGCCGACUCUUCAACUAUGCAAACUGGGAAGUUCUCCGCUUCUUUUUGUCCAACUUAAGGUGGUGGCUGGAGGAGUAUCAGUUUGAUGGUUUUCGGUUCGAUGGAGUAACUUCCAUGCUGUAUCAUCACCAUGGCAUAAACGUGGCAUUUACAGGAGAUUAUAAUGAGUACUUCAGUGAGGCAACAGAUGUUGAUGCUGUUGUUUAUUUGAUGCUUGCCAACUAUGUGAUCCAUAAGAUACUGCCAUCUGCAACUGUAAUUGCCGAAGAUGCUUCUGGGAUGCCUGGACUUGGUCGGCCUGUCUCUGAAGGAGGUGUUGGUUUUGACUACCGGCUGGCAAUGGCCAUCCCUGAUAAGUGGAUUGAUUAUGUGAAAAACAAGAAAGACGAAGAGUGGUCAGUGACAGAAAUUUCAUGGAGCUUGACAAAUAGGAGAUACACCGAGAAAUGUGUCUCCUAUGCUGAGAGUCAUGAUCAGGUAUGAGGUUUUCUUUUUGUGCAAGAGACCAGAAGAAACAAGAGAGUUCAAGUUUUGUGAAGAUGUAUAUGUUUCGUUUCCUGAAGAUCUUUAUAAUGUCAAUGAUCUUGAUUCAUUGUCUCGUUAUUGUUGCCAAAUUACCCCUCUCUUUACAAUUUUGGUUGCUAACGCUUGCAGUCAAUUGUGGGUGACAAAACGAUUGCAUCCUUUUUGAUGGAUAAAGAAAUGUACUCUGGUAUGUCGUGUUUGAAGGAUGCUUCUCCUACUGUUGAUCGCGGGAUUGCCCUCCACAAGGUUUGUCUUUUUACUUUUGGUACCGGGAGGAUUAAUAGCAUAUGCUGUUUGGUUAGUAGGUGUUUGUAGUCUCUUUCUCUUGCUCAUUUUUUCGUUCUGUAUAUAUAAUGGCAACAUCAGCAAGGAUCAGAUUACACCAAAAAGUUCACCAAUCACUGACAAAGUAGCUAAAAUAUUUAUAUUUUUAACAAUCGUUUGGGUCACUGACUUUCAUUUUGGGUUUGGAGAAUAUCUGAACUAUUGCCACUUUGUAUUAGCAUAUUUAUCUAUGACGUGUUCGUUGACUCAAAAUAUUAAGUUUGUGGACUAAAUUAGCUCUCAUUGUUGUUUUCGACUUUUUCAGAUGAUACAUUUUAUAACUAUGGCAUUAGGAGGCGAGGGCUAUCUUAACUUUAUGGGUAGUGAGGUAAGCACAUUUGCUAGUAUGCCGCCUGCAAAUCUCUUAAUGGGUUAAUGCAGUGCAGCAGGACCUUGAAAUUUUUCAAUAUAAAAUGUCUUUUUUUUUUUUUUUUGUGUGAAACUAUUUAAGACGUGAGAGAAGUGUUGGCAAGUGGCAACCCUGUAAAAAGGUCGGUUUUCUUUGUAGUUUGGAAACCCUGAAUGGAUUGACUUUCCAAGAGAUGGCAAUGGGUGGAGUUACGAAAAGUGCAGACGCCAAUGGAACCUGGUGGAUACAGAUCAUUUAAGAUAUAAGGUCCAGAUUCUGUAGACAAAAUCUACUUUUACUGUUCUUAGCAUUUGUCAAUUUUUGCAUACUGUUUCAUGUUCUGUCAAUGGCUGCUCUAAUUAGACUUGUUACUGUUGUGGGCUAUAUUGAGAAAUAACUUCUUGGCAUCCAUGUAGAGUUUCAUGUGUGUGCUUGCAUGUGUGUGCACAUAUAUUUAACAUAAAUUAGAUUUACUGGACCAGUAUAUUCUAUCUACUGUCAUUUCAUCUGAUCUAUUUCAGCGUCCUUGUCCUAAAACCAUGUUGCAUACGUUCUCAACGUGGUCUAUGAGAAUCAGUCUAGGUUCAUCGCGGAACAUGGUUAUUGACAGGACUUGGAACCAUAUGCUUAAUAUUUGAGUUUAAGUUUUAGGACCCAAAAGAAAAGUACCGGUUUUUGUUGCACAGUUGAUUUCUUUGCUUUUACAUAUAAUAAAUAAAGUUUAAUGUCACUUCUUACAUUGUUAUUUUUGCAACUCGUCCAGUUUAUGAACGCAUUUGACAGAGCUAUGAACUUGCUUGAUGAGAAAUUUUCGUUCCUUUCAUCAACAAAGCAGAUAGUGAGCAGCACAAAUGAGGAAGACAAGGUGAGAUAUGGUGUGGUGUUCCUUUAUUUGUUUUUUGAACAAUGAUAGUACUCUUUCUUAUUGUACAAAUAUCAGCUGGUGGAUAUUAGUGGUUCCCAGUUCUCGUGCAUCAAAUUGGAUUGGCAGGAAUGAACCAUUUAAAUCACUGCACAUAUUAACAAUACUUCAUCUUUGAAGUAUGCUUAGCAGCAACUCUUGGAAUUAGUAUAGAUAUCUUUAGUAGUUAAUGUUUAUCAAGUAUGGUCCAUUGUUUGACUGACCAGUCACCUCUCUUUUAUGGACAAAUUACUGAAGCGAGAAUGUAAACAAAGAUAAUUGAUUAUUUCAACUGACGAUUAUCUUUGGAAUUACGCGUUGCAGGUUAUUGUCUUUGAGCGUGGAGAUCUGGUUUUUGUAUUCAAUUUUCAUCCAGUAAACACAUACGAUAGGUAUAAGACCUUUUGCUUUUUGAUGAUGUAGCUGCAUGCUUGAUAGAAGCAGCUUGGACAUUCAUUUUACUUGGGAUUAACAUUAUUGAGUGAAUUGUGUUAUGAGACGUGCAGGUACAAAGUGGGGUGUGACUUACCUGGGAAGUACAGAGUUGCACUAGACAGUGAUGCUUUCGAAUUUGGUGGACAUGGAAGAGUAAGGAAGCCCUUUGCAUUCCCAAUGUUGUAUUAAGCAGAAGCUGAGUAUUUUAGGGACAUUGCAAUUAAAAUAAGAGCAAACAAAAAGGAAUGAACCAUCUCUCUUUCUUAUCAGAAGUUGUUGACCACAGUUUAACUGGCAGGUAGGGCAUGAUGUAGACCACUUCACAUUUCCAGAAGGAAUACCAGGGGUUCCUGGAACAAAUUUCAACCGCCGUCCCAACUCCUUCAGAGUACUCUCACCACCGCGAACAUCCGUGGUAUGAUAAUUACUGACAAUUUUGUUAAUCCUGACUUUCUAAUUUCAAGUUUUCUUACUUCUAGUGGUUGUGAGGUGUGUGUGAUGCUUCUCGUUUGCUUUAAUCUGGCAAACAAACAUCUGUGAUUGUUCUUAACCAUUAUCUUACGAACUUGUCAAGGUUUAUUACCGAGUGGAGAACUCAACAGCAAAAGUUGUGGUUGGGCAGGAGCACAAAGAAGUUGGAUCUAUGAAACAUGAAAAUGUUGGUCCAUUAGUGAAUUUGUCAUCGGAUAACUGAAAGAGGUGUGCUCCCACUGAUGGAUUCUGUAUGUGAAUAAAUAAGCGGAUUGUUCAACGAUAUAGAAAAAUGUACUACUUGCAGAUGCAGUCGCACUAGAAUGUGUAUAUGAAAUAAACGACUGCAUCUAGAAUGUGUGUAUGAAAUAAACGACUGUAUGACAUAAACAUUAGCAUUACUACUGGGUUCGUAGUUUCAAUUACUGAAUUAUAAAUCGUAGUUUGCUAUGUCAAGCUCGAUGAUAAUCUCACUAUUAAGACAUAUGCCAAAAUGUUAUUUGGUUUCUUUCCCAGUUGAAUCAUGAUAAUGCCUAAAAUCUCACUAUUAGGCCAUUUAAUAUCUGGAUAUAACGUAGUGUAGAUUAAUCUGGAUUAGGAUACAAUGCUGAUUAAUCUGGAUUAAGAUAUAAUGCAGAUAAAUCCCAGUUGUAAUCAAAUAGUGAAUCUUUCUCUUUGUAGAAGACACGUACAUUUCUCGGUUUCUCCUUGUAGAAGACAAUCCAGACAUAAUGCAGAUUAAUCCAAUUGUAACCAAAUACUGAACCUUUGUCCUUGUAGAAGAUAAUCCAGAUUGAUCCCCUAUUGUAAUCAAAUACUGAAUCUUUCUCCUCGUAGAAGAUGAGAUGCUCCUAUAUAUACCCACCCAUCUGCAAUUAUCAUCGCUCACACACAUUGUUCUUGAUAUUCAGUAUUAUCAUUACUUAAAAAGAUGGAGAUUGAUCUUACACCAAGGUUGGCUAAGCAGGUUUAUGGAGGAGAUGGUGGUUCCUACUCUGCAUGGUCCCCAUCGGAGCUUCCCAUGCUACGUGAAGGUGACAUCGGAGCUGCCAAGCUCUCUCUGGAGAAGGACGGCUUCGCUCUCCCCAAUUACUCUGACUCUGCCAGAGUUGCUUAUGUCCUUCAAGGUAAUGGAGUAGUCGGGAUUGUUUUGCCCGAGAAGGAAGAGAAGGUUCUGCCUGUUAAGAAGGGUGAUGCUCUUGCCCUCCCCUUUGGUGUCAUCACAUGGUGGCACAACAAGGAGGAUACCGAGUUUGUGGUUCUUUUCUUGGGUGACACCAAAACCGCUCACAAAAGAGGAGAGUUCACCGAUAUGUAUCUCAAUGGUUCCAAUGGAAUCUUCACCGGCUUCUCAACUGAGUUUGUCAGCCGAGCAUGGGAUUUGGAGGAGAGUGUUGUGAAAACUCUUGUUGGCAACCAAAGCGGGAAGGGCAUUGUUAAGUUGGGAGGAGCUAAUCUGCCUGAACCAAACAAGGAACAUAGAGAUGGGAUGACAUUGAACUGCGAAGAGGCUCCUCUUGAUGUUGAUAUUGAGGGAGGUGGAAGAGUUGUUGUUUUGAACACUAAGAACCUACCUCUGGUGGGUGAGGUUGGCCUUGGCGCCGAUCUUGUGAGAUUGGAUGGUAGUGCUAUGUGCUCUCCUGGGUUUUCUUGUGACUCUGCGUUGCAGGUCACUUACAUUGUUAGGGGCAGUGGCCGUGUCCAAGCUGUAGGUGUCGAUGGGAAGAGGGUCUUGGAAACAACUGUUACGGCUGGUAACUUGUUCAUUGUUCCUCGAUUCUUUGUGGUUUCAAAGAUUGCUGACCCGGAAGGCUUGGAAUGGUUCUCCAUCAUCACCACUCCCAAUCCAAUUUUCACUCAUUUGGCUGGAAGUAUUAGUGCUUGGAAAGCGUUAUCUCCUCAGGUGCUUGAAGCUUCUUUCAAUGUGGAUUCGGAUACUGAAAAACUCUUCCGAUCAAAGAGAACUGCUGAUGCAAUCUUCUUCCCUCCUCCAAAGUGAGCUGAUGAGCUUACACAAUAAGCGUUUUUUGGUUUAUGUUUCAUGGCCUUUUAUGACACGUUUACUUGUUAUGAAUGAAAUUCAUAAUGAAUGGGAGAAAGAAGAAAUGAGAGAAAGAAUGAAAUAGUAUGUUAAGAGUUCAAUUUCAUUGAACUGUUUAUUUACCACAUGGAAUUAAAAUAAGAAUGAAAUUAAUUACGAUUGAUGUUGUUUACUUAUCAUAUAAAAUUUGAAUUAAAACUACUUCGAUUACUAAAUUACCCUUUCAAAAAAAGUCUGCCAAGUAGUUUUUUUUUUUCCCGACAAAAAGUUAAGCAUUUUGUUUAAAUCAAUAUAGGAUCAUAGAACAUCCACUUUAUAAAAAAAAAAAACUAAAUAAACUUUGCCAAACUUUGAUGGUUGUUGGCAUUGAACCACCAGCAUGUUUUAGAAUAACAAGAACUUUGAAUCCUUAUGCAGAAAUCAAAAUCAACAUUUAAGAAGUGUGCGAUCUGCUAAAACUAAAUAAACAUAGAUAACUCUAUCAAAUCUCAAUCAAAACCCCCAACGAUUUGAACCCCUCCGCAUCACUCUCAAAAGACAAAUCAACAACGAUCAUGUGAAAAUGAUAAAGUAAAGAAGAUAAUAACAAAGGAGAAGAUCAUUGGAAAAGAUAGGACAAAGAAGAGUGACUAACCAGCAGCACAGUCGCACGAUUCGUUUUUGUCAUUGGUUGGCUGUUUCUGAUAAUGGCAAAAUAUGACACGUUUAUGAUAAGAAAUAUAUUCUGGGGUUAGGUAAUUUGGGGUUAUUGAAAUUAUGUGAGGAUAAUUUGGAAACAAAAAGUUCAUUUCUGAUGAUGUCAUUCCUAAACCCACCUCCUCCCUUGGUAUUACAAAUUCAGGUUAACAAGGAAUCAAUUCCAGGUUGGGAGGUGGGACCCACAAAAAUUUCUAUUCCACUAUGAGCAAAUAAACACAGGAAUUUCUUCAUCCCGUAAUCAUUCUCCUAUAUUUAUAUUUCAUUCAUGAUAAGUAAAUGUGUCAUUAGUUCAUAAUUUUUUACGAUUUAAAGAAAAAUAUAAAGAUGUGGAAUAUUCAAUAUUCUAAAGAGCAAAACACCUGGAAGCAACACGUAGGCUUUGGAGGAAGGAUAUAAAAACAAACGGACCAACGGCUCAUAGUUAGCGAGGAUCCAUCUCACGUCACGUGGAUCAUGAUACUUUGUUUCCGCUCCAAAGCAAUCCCUUUCUCCAGAAGAAGAAGCAGUACGAGCAAAUGCAAUCAAAUCCAGCCAGCAAACAGGUCCAUCAUUUUAGUGAAUGCGGGUCCAGAAGCAGCACCAACCGUCCAGAUUGUUCAGGCCGCCUUCUUAUUCUGAGAAGAGAGAGGUGCUCAUGGAAAAGUUGAGAGUGAGUGUAAGACUCACAGUGAGGCUCAGUGAUCGUUGAACAAGAUGCUGGGCUCUUUGGGUCGUCUUAAUCUCACUUAUUCUUCUUCUUCUGGGUCUUUCUCGUCUUCCAAGGACUACCCGAGUCCGAGGCUAUCUCAUCCCAAACUACCCUCUUUUCCGCUGCUUCGACAUAGAGUACUGUCCCCUCCAACUAAUUUAAGAUGUGGGAAGGUAGGUCUGAUGCACAUUUCUAAAUCAAUAUAGUCAUACGAGCCUUUGUUUCUGUUAAAGUAGAGUUAUUUAUUGGGAUCUUUCAAUUCUUGGUUUGUUAGUUGGAGCGUGAUUGCAAAGUUAGAGCAGUUUUGACAGACGACAGCUCGAUAAUGACGGUGAAUGAAGGAGAGACGGAAGAUAUUGGUAUUUUGAGAACAGACUCAAACUUGGAGCCGUACAAAGAUCACUUCAAGUGUAGAAUAAAGAGAUAUUUGGAGCAGAAAAGUCUCUUUGAGAAAUAUGAAGGAGGUCUAGAGGAAUUCGCUCGAGGUGAUUUGUGUUUCCUUUGUUGUCUUUAAUGGUCGAGAUGAUUUGUAUAUAUGCGUGAUGACAUCAUACUGUGUUUUGCUGCUCAUGUAGGUUUUGUGAAAUUUGGAUUUAAUAGAGAAGACGAUGGAGUUGUGUACCGUGAAUGGGCCCCUGCAGCUCAGUGAGUUCAUUAGCUUUUGAACAACCAUUUGAUUUUAGCUUUAGAUGCGUAAAUUUAUGUUUUGAUUAAUUAAUGUAAUCGUAAAACUCAGGGAGGCCCAACUUGUUGGAGACUUUAAUGGAUGGGAGGGCUCCAAUCACAAGAUGGAGAAGGGCGAGUUUGGAGUAUGGAGUAUCAAGAUACAUGACUUUGAUGGAAAUCCAGCUAUUCCUCACAAUUCAAAGGUUAAGUUCCGGUUCAAGCAUGGAGAUGGAGUUUGGGUUGAUCGUAUUCCUGCUUGGAUUAAAUAUGCCACUGUGGAUCCAGCAAAGUUUGCAGCUCCAUAUGAUGGUGUGUACUGGGAUCCACCACCAUCAGAAAGGUAACCGGUUUCAUUUUUUCUCUACGAAGAUGCAAAAUGGUCUCAUGAUAUGCAGAAAUUCUAGCAACUUAAAUUGUGGUAUCUGAGUGCAACAACUAGAAACUUUUGGUUUAUCCUGUAAUUUGACUUGGGUUUUCUGAUGAGAUUUAUCCACGGGAUCAUGCAGGUAUCAGUUUAAGUAUGGUCGUCCUCCAAAACCCAAGGCUCCACGAAUAUAUGAGGCCCAUGUUGGAAUGAGUAGCUCAGAACCCCGCAUCAGUUCAUACAGAGAAUUUGCUGAUAAUGUUUUGCCUCGUAUUCGAGCAAAUAACUAUAACACAGUCCAGCUGAUGGCUGUGAUGGAGCAUUCCUAUUAUGCUUCCUUCGGUUAUCAUGUGACAAAUUUCUUUGCCGUAAGCAGUAGAUCUGGAACACCUGAGGACCUUAAAUAUCUAAUUGAUAAAGCACAUUCCCUAGGUUUGCGGGUAUUGAUGGAUGUCAUUCACAGUCAUGCAAGUAAUAAUGUCACUGAUGGCCUCAAUGGCUUUGAAGUUGGUCAAAGCACACAAGAGUCCUACUUCCAUGCAGGAGAUAGAGGCUACCAUAAGUUAUGGGAUAGCCGACUCUUCAACUAUGCAAACUGGGAAGUUCUCCGCUUCUUUUUGUCC
rnacentral:lncRNA from 1 species